AAGUCGUAACAAGGUUUCCGUAGGUGAACCUGCGGAAGGAUCAUUAACACUCAACUUGUGCUGGCCGGCUCGUCCGCGCCUCACAUCUACUAUCCACCCGUGGUUCUGUUCCGUACCUUGGCCGCCAGGCUGAGGCUUAUCCGCUCGAUCGCUGAGCUCCAACAGGGCCAGUGGCGACGGUGGGUAAUUCCACCCGAGCUGUAUAGGUCGAGAGGCCCAACCUUUAUUUUUACUGCAUUCCAUACCUGUACUGAUCCCAUAUGCACGCGAAAGUGUGCGUAUGUUAUUGACCCCGGUCAAUAAACCAAAUACAACUCGUAGCAACGGAUGUCUCGGCUAAC
rnacentral:misc_RNA from 1 species